rnacentral:misc_RNA from 1 species
AUGAAAAUCUCAUCCCAUCGGGUUUCUGAUGAUGAUGGACUUGGGUGCUGCCAUCUGGCUUGCCUUAAAAGUGUUAGUGGUUCCAAAGUUGAAUCUGGCGUAAUAAGUUUCGCUGGCCAAGACCGAAGGCUACUCAUAACCUGUCUUUUGACAUCUUUUGCUCUGACCUCAAAUCAGGUAGGACUACCCGCUGAACUUAA